AAUCAGUUGACUUGUUUGUCUUGAAAAAAUAUGAUCUCGAUAUUUUGACUGAAGCACUUGCAGAUCAUGACUAUGACCGUCUAAGUUUAUUGGGCUGAGUGAAGUGGCAGAAAACGUGGCAUAUAUUGGUAGCUAUGUUGUCAAAAUGGUGGUGAAGACGUUUAAGUGCGCAGACUGCAUUUCUUCUUGUAUUGAAACAAGAAGAAGUGACUUACACUUUUACAGAUUAUUGGACAAAAAAAACAUGGGUGGGCUUAUUAAACCUUUUGCUGGGGUUGUGAAGACUUGUUGUUACUGUUAAUACGAAAAAUUUUGCAACUCACCGAUAAACUUCCAAGCGAUGAACAAUUUUUUAAAACUUUCGGCAUGCCAGCAUUCUUUUUCCUAAUUUAGAAGACCCACGCACUCGAGACGGUGGCCAUCGAUGAAGGCCAUUUAUAUAUUCUUAUUAAACAAAUAAUUAAUGCCUACAUGCGAAUAAGAAUGUUUCAUUUGAGCAAAAGACUUUCAUGUCUUGCUCAAGGCACUUCUGUUAGACAUGUGUACACAUAAUUAGUACUGUUUUCGCAUCAAUAAAUAUAUUGAAGUAUAA